rnacentral:rRNA from 1 species
UACAGAGGGUGCGAGCGUUAAUCGGAAUUACUGGGCGUAAAGCGUGCGUAGACGGUUAUUUAAGUCGGAUGUGAAAGCCCCGGGCUCAACCUGGGAAUUGCAUUCGAGACUGAAUAGCUAGGGUACGGUAGAGGGAAGUGGAAUUUCCGGUGUAGCGGUGAAAUGCGUAGAUAUCGGAAGGAACAUCAGUGGCGAAAGCGGUGGUCUGGGCCGGCACGUGACGCUGAGGAGCGAAAGCGUGGGGAGCAAACAGGG